rnacentral:ncRNA from 1 species
AGAUGAGAUAGAGGUCGCGGCAAAUAAUAGUAGUUUCAUGGAGACGCAGAGACGUCGCUGAAGUGAGAUGAAGGAUUUGUCGCCGAAGUUUAUAGCGUGCUCUGGCGCUAUAAGCUGGGCCUGUUGCCGAAUAGGUGCAGGACUGUCAUCGCACAUGCGGUGGAGAGCUAUCGAUCUU